rnacentral:rRNA from 1 species
UACGAAGGGGGCUAGCGUUGUUCGGAAUUACUGGGCGUAAAGGGCGCGUAGGCGGUCAGCACAAGUCAGUUGUGAAAUCUCCGGGCUUAACUCGGAAAGGUCAACUGAUACUGUGCGACUAGAGUGCAGAAGGGGCAACUGGAAUUCUCGGUGUAGCGGUGAAAUGCGCAGAUAUCAGGAAGAACACCAAUGGCGAAGGCAGCUCUCUGGGACGGUACUGACGCUGAGACGCGAAAGCGUGGGGAGCGAACAGG